AAUGCUAUCUACACACGCGGUACUAUUAUUAUGCUGUUAUUGGUUUUGAAAUUUUAACGUUGACCGACGUGCGCGGGUACGAACGUAUUAUACAAAGUACUCGUGGAUACCCAUAUAUACCUAUACCAAUAACCUAAAUAAUAUAUUUGUGUAUGUAUAUAAUUGGCUCGGAUCAAAUCGAUCUGUAUAGCCCGGCGACGACCAAAGACCAUACGACUAUAAUACGGCUCGGGCUAAACGGUAAGCGUUCGGUAUACAUAAUAAUAU